GAUCUCAGUUGGUAGAGCUUGAGACUCUUACUCUCACGGUUGUGGCUUCGAGUCCCACAUUGGGCA